rnacentral:ncRNA from 1 species
UAUAUUAAAGUUGUUGCGGUUAAAAAGCUCGUAUUUGAAUCUGUGCCGCACACCGUCAGUUCACCGCUCGCGGUGUUUAACUGGCGUGAUGUGGGACGUCCUACCGGUGGGCUUAGCCUCGCGAGAAGCGGCCCAACUAAUAUCAUGUCGCGGUGCUCUUUACUGAGUGUCGAGUCGGACCAGUACGUUUACUUUGAACAAAUUAGAGUGCUUAAAGCAGGCUAUCCUCACCUGAAUACUGCGUGCAUGGAAUAAUGCAAUAGGACCUCGGUUCUAUUUUGUUGGUUUUCGGAACCCCGAGGUAAUGAUUAAUAGGGACAGAUAGGGGCAUUCGUAUUGCGACGUUAGAGGUGAAAUUCUUGGAUUGUCGCAAGACGGACAGAAUCGAAAGCAUUUACCAAAAAUGUUUUCAUUAAUCAAGAACGAAAGUUAGAGAUUCGAAGGCGAUCAGAUACCGCCCUAGUUCUAACCAUAAACGAUGCCAGCUAGCGAUCCGCUGAAGUUCCUCCGAUGACUCGGCGGGCAGCUUCCGGGAAACCAAAGAUUUUGGAUUCCGGGGGAAGUAUGGUUGCAAAGCUGAAACUUAAAGGAAUUGACGGAAGGACACUACUAGGAGUGGAGCCUGCUUAAUUUGACUCAACACGGGAAACCUCACCAGGUCCAGACACCGGAAGGAUUGACAGAUUGAUAUCUCCUUCUUGAUCGGUGGGUGGUGGUGCAUGGCCGUUCUUAGUUGGUGGAGCGAUUUGUCUGGUUAAUUCCGAUAACGAACGAGACUCUAGCCUGCUAAAUAGGCGUACCUUAUGG